rnacentral:rRNA from 1 species
GUAGGGAAUAUUGGGCAAUGGAUGCAAGUCUGACCCAGCCAUCCCGCGUGCCGGAAGAAGGCCCUCAGGGUUGUAAACGGCUUUUGAUGGUGAAGAAUCGACAGGAUGCGUCCUGUUUUGACGGUAGCCGUUGAAUAAGCACCGGCUAACUCCGUGCCAGCAGCCGCGGUAAUACGGAGGGUGCGAGCGUUGUCCGGAUUUAUUGGGUUUAAAGGGUGCGUAGGCUGGAAGGUCAGUCAGCGGUGAAAAGCUAUCGCUUAACGAUAGUCUUGCCGCAGAUACUUCCUUUCUUGGAUGAGGAGGAGGCCACUGGAACGGAUGGUGUAGCGGUGAAAUGCAUAGAUAUCAUCCAGAACACCGAUUGCGAAGGCAGGUGGCUGUACCUUAAUCGACGCUGAUGCACGAAAGCAUGGGGAGCAAACAGGAUUAGAUACCCUAGUAGUCC